rnacentral:rRNA from 1 species
GACGAACGCUGGCGGCGUGCUUAACACAUGCAAGUCGAGCGGAGCGGCGAACGGGUGAGUAACGCGUGAGUAAUUGCCCCCCUCUCUGGGAUAACAGAUGGAAACGGCUGCUAAUACCGGAUAGUGGGGGAUGACUCGCGGCCUAUCAGCUUGUUGGUUGGGUGGUGGCCUACCAAGGCGACGACGGGUAGCCGGCCUGAGGGGGGGAACAGCGACAGUAGGCGACGAUACGGCGCAAACGCCUACGGGAGGCAGCAGUGGGGAAUAUUGCACAAUGGGGGAGACCCUGAUGAAGCAGCGCCGCGUGCGGAAUGACGGCCUUCGGGGUGUAAACCGCUUUCAGCCAUGACGCGGUAGUGGCAGAAGAAGCACCGGCUAACUACGUGCCAGCAGCCGCGGUAAUUC